rnacentral:rRNA from 1 species
AGCGAACGCUGGCGGCAGGCCUAACACAUGCAAGUCGAACGGUAACGCGGGGCAACCUGGCGACGAGUGGCGAACGGGUGAGUAAUGCAUCGGAACGUGCCCAGAUGUGGGGGAUAACUGCUCGAAAGAGCGGCUAAUACCGCAUACGACCUGAGGGUGAAAGCGGGGGACCGUAAGGCCUCGCGCGAUUGGAGCGGCCGAUGUCAGAUUAGCCAGUUGGUGGGGUCAAGGCCUACCAAGGCAACGAUCUGGAGUUGGUCUGAGAGGACGACCAGCCAGACUGGGACGGAGACACGGCGCAGAGUCCGACGUGAGGCAGCAGGUGGGAAUUUUGGACAAUGGGCGGAAGCCGGAUCCAGCAAUGCCGCGUGCAGGAAGAAGGCGGUCGGGUUGUAAACUGCUUUUGUCAGGGACGAAAUCUUCUGGGCUAAUGCCCCGGGAGGAUGACGGUACCUGAAGAAUAAGCACCGGCUAACUACGUGCCAGCAGCCGCCGUAAGAC